GGUACAAUAUAUCAACGAAAUUAGUACUAUAGUAGCUAGUAGUUUGGAGUUCCAAAAAAAGUUAGAUUUAAUUUGAGUACUUGCGCAGAGCUUUACGUACGUAAACAAAAUGAAAGCUUAUGAUAUUUUAAAAAAAAAACAAAAAACUUAUGAUAUUAAAAUAAUGUCGCAGUAGUUUUUCAAAAUAUAACGAGCAGCAGCGUCGUUGAGACGCCUUUUACUCUCACAUGUGAAUAGAGCACUCUUUGCUUGAGCCAUGCACGUGCGUCGG
rnacentral:lncRNA from 1 species